GCUGCCAUACCAGCUGCAGGUCAGACCAGGUAAUCUGUCUGAAGCUAAGCAGGUCUGGGCCUGGCCAGCACUUGGAUGGGAGACCAACUAGGAAAGGUGUUGGUGUGGCCAACA
rnacentral:rRNA from 1 species